rnacentral:rRNA from 1 species
AUAGCGUAUAUUAAAGUUGUUGCAGUUAAAAAGCUCGUAGUUGAACUUCAGCCUCUUGGCCGGGCGGUCUGCCUCACGGUAUGUACUGUCUGGCUGGGGCUUACCUUCUGGUGAGCUUGCAUGCCGUUUAUUCGGUGUGUGAGGGAACCAGGACUUUUACCUUGAGAAAAUUUGAGUGUUCAAAGCAGGCAAAUGCCCGAAUACAUUAGCAUGGCAUAAUGGAAUAGGACGUGCGGUUCUAUUUUGUUGGUUUCUAGAGUCGCCGUAAUGAUUAAUAGGGACAGUUGGGGGCAUUAGUAUUUAAUUGUCAGAGGUGAAAUUCUCGGAUUUGUUAAAGACUAACUUAUG